UUGCCUUGUACUUGCAUUCUCCCUUUUAACGUUGAACAAAGUGCUUCACCUCUCCAGUUUCUUCAUCUGAAGAACAGAGAUUAGAUAAUAAUGGCUCCACCUCAGAGGCUCUGGUAAGGUGUGAAAGUUCAUCUACAAAGAGCUCUGAAAGCAAGUUCAGCUGGAGAGAGCACCUGGCAAAUGUUAACAGCUCCUGAUGAUCAGAAGACUAGCACCCUCGGAUACUAUAUUCCAGAGAUUGCUGCAGCAGAAGUCAAAAUAUUCAUCAGCACAUUUGAAGAAGCCCAUAUUCAGGCUGCUCCCUUUGCCUCUUCUCAAAAGGACAUGAGUAUGAAGAAAACUGUUCAAAAGCCUAUAGAACAUU